GGGACUCAGAUGGUUAGAGCGCGUCACUGAUAAUGACGAGGUCGAUGGUUCGACUCCAUCGUCGCCCACCA
rnacentral:tRNA from 1 species